rnacentral:rRNA from 1 species
ACCUAGGCUUCGGCUUAGGGGAAAGCGGCGAACGGGUGAGUAUCACGUGGGUAAUCUGCCCUCGACAUCGGGAUAGCCCGGGGAAACCCGGAUUAAUACCGAAUGGCCCAUCCGCUCUUCGGAGCGGCUGGAAAAGGUAGCUUCGGCCUCCGGUCGAGGAGGAGCCCGCGGCGGAUUAGCUUGUUGGUGAGGUAAUGGCUCACCAAGGCGACGAUCCGUAGCUGGUCUGAGAGGACGAUCAGCCACACUGGGACUGAGACACGGCCCAGACUCCUACGGGAGGCAGCAGUGGGGAAUCUUGCGCAAUGGGCGAAAGCCUGACGCAGCGACGCCGCGUGCGGGAAGAAGGCCUUCGGG